rnacentral:rRNA from 1 species
UACAGGGGGGGGCAAGCGUUGUUCGGAAUUACUGGGCGUAAAGGGCUCGUAGGUGGCCAACUAAGUCAGACGUGAAAUCCCUCGGCUUAACCGGGGAACUGCGUCUGAUACUGGAUGGCUUGAGUUCGGGAGAGGGAUGCGGAAUUCCAGGUGUAGCGGUGAAAUGCGUAGAUAUCUGGAGGAACACCCGUGGCGAAGGCGGCCCUCUGGCUCGACCCUGACGCUGAGAGGCGAAAGCGUGGGGAGCGAACGGG